rnacentral:rRNA from 1 species
AACGAACGCGGGCGGCAUGCCUAACACAUGCAAGUCGAACGAGACCUUCGGGUCUAGUGGCGCACGGGUGCGUAACGCGUGGGAACCUGCCCUUAGGUUCGGAAUAACUCCCCGAAAGGGGUGCUAAUACCGGAUAAUGUCUUCGGACCAAAGAUUUAUCGCCUUUGGAUGGGCCCGCGUUGGAUUAGCUAGUUGGUAGGGUAAAAGCCUACCAAGGCGACGAUCCAUAGCUGGUCUGAGAGGAUGAUCAGCCACACUGGGACUGAGACACGGCCCAGACUCCUACGGGAGGCAGCAGUGGGGAAUAUUGGACAAUGGGCGAAAGCCUGAUCCAGCAAUGCCGCGUGAGUGAUGCAGGCCUUAGGGUUGUAAAGCUCUUUUACCCGGGAUGAUAAUGACAGUACCGGGAGAAUAAGCUCCGGCUCGCUCCGUG